rnacentral:rRNA from 1 species
UGCAUGGCGGGGGCUUACCAUGCAGUCGACGAUGAAGCCCAGCUUGCUGGGUGGAUUAGUGGCGAACGGGUGAGUAACACGUGAGUAACCUGCCCUUAACUCUGGGAUAAGCCUGGGAAACUGGGUCUAAUACCGGAUAGGAGCGUCCACCGCAUGGUGGGUGUUGGAAAGAUUUAUCGGUUUUGGAUGGACUCGCGGCCUAUCAGCUUGUUGGUGAGGUAAUGGCUCACCAAGGCGACGACGGGUAGCCGGCCUGAGAGGGUGACCGGCCACACUGGGACUGAGACACGGCCCAGACUCCUACGGGAGGCAGCAGUGGGGAAUAUUGCACAAUGGGCGCAAGCCUGAUGCAGCGACGCCGCGUGAGGGAUGACGGCCUUCGGGUUGUAAACCUCUUUCAGUAGGGAAGAAGCGAAAGUGACGGUACCUGCAGAAGAAGCACCGGCUAACUACGUGCCAGCAGCCGCGGUAAUACGUAGGGUGCGAGCGUUAUCCGGAAUUAUUGGGCGUAAAGAGCUCGUAGGCGGUUUGUCGCGUCUGUCGUGAAAGUCCGGGGCUUAACCCCGGAUCUGCGGUGGGUACGGGCAGACUAGAGUGCAGUAGGGGAGACUGGAAUUCCUGGUGUAGCGGUGGAAUGCGCAGAUAUCAGGAGGAACACCGAUGGCGAAGGCAGGUCUCUGGGCUGUAACUGACGCUGAGGAGCGAAAGCAUGGGGAGCGAACAGGAUUAGAUACCCUGGUAGUCCAUGCCGUAAACGUUGGGCACUAGGUGUGGGGACCAUUCCACGGUUUCCGCGCCGCAGCUAACGCAUUAAGUGCCCCGCCUGGGGAGUACGGCCGCAAGGCUAAACUCAAAGGAAUUGACGGGGGCCCGCACAAGCGGCGGAGCAUGCGGAUUAAUUCGAUGCAACGCGAGAACCUUACCACGGCUUGACAUGUCUCGAUCGCGUAGAGAUACGUUUCCCUUUGGGGCGGGUUCACAGUGUGCAUGAUGUCGUCAGCUCGUGUCGUGAGAUGUGGGGU